CCUACGGGAGACAGCAGUGGGGGAUAUUGCACAAUGGGGGAAACCCUGAUGCAGCGACGCCGCGUGGACGACGGUGUAUUUUGGUAGGUAAAGCUCUAUCAGCAGGGAAGAAGAAUUGACGGUACCUGCGUAAGAAGCACCGGCUAAAUAGGUGCCAGCACCCGCGGUAAUCCGUCGGUGGCAGUCGUUGUCGGGAUUUACUGGGUGUAAGGGGCGUGUAGCCGGGCUGACAAGUCAGAUGUGAAGUCAGGUGGCCCAACCCCCGAACUGCAUUUGAAACUGUUGGUCUUGAGUAUCGGAGAGGCGGGAGGAAUGCCUAGUGUAGCGGUGAAAUGCGUAGAUAUUAGGAGGAACACCAGUGGCGAAGGCGGCCUGCGGGACGACAACUGACGGUGAGGCGCGAAAGCGUGGGGAGCAAACAGGAUUAGAUACCCUAGUAGUC
rnacentral:rRNA from 1 species